UACCUGGCUCAGGAUGAACGCUAGCGGCAGGCCUAAUACAUGCAAGUCGAGGGGUAUAGAGGAGCUUGCUCUUCUAGAGACCGGCGCACGGGUGCGUAACGCGUAUGCAACCUACCUUUAUCUGGGGGAUAGCCCGGAGAAAUCCGGAUUAAUACCGCAUAAAAUCACAGUACUGCAUAGUACAAUGAUCAAACAUUUAUGGGAUGAAGAUGGGCAUGCGUGUCAUUAGCUAGUUGCGGGGUAACGGCCCACCAAGGCGACGAUGACUAGGGGAUCUGAGAGGAUGGCCCCCCACACUGGUACUGAGACACGGACCAGACUCCUACGGGAGGCAGCAGUAAGGAAUAUUGGUCAAUGGAGGCAACUCUGAACCAGCCAUGCCGCGUGCAGGAAGACUGCCCUAUGGGUUGUAAACUGCUUUUACUCGGGAAUAAACCUAGAUACGUGUAUUUAGCUGAAUGUACCGAGGGAAUAAGGAUCGGCUAACUCCGUG
rnacentral:rRNA from 1 species